UACGAAGGGGGCUAGCGUUGUUCGGAAUUACUGGGCGUAAAGCGCACGUAGGCGGAUCGAUCAGUCAGGGGUGAAAUCCCAGGGCUCAACCCUGGAACUGCCUUUGAUACUGUCGAUCUGGAGUAUGGAAGAGGUGAGUGGAAUUCCGAGUGUAGAGGUGAAAUUCGUAGAUAUUCGGAGGAACACCAGUGGCGAAGGCGGCUCACUGGCCCAUUACUGACGCUGAGGUGCGAAAGCGUGGGGAGCAAACAGG
rnacentral:rRNA from 1 species